CAGCUCUAUACGCGUAUAUUAAAUUUGUUGCAGUUAAAAAGCUCGUAGUUGGAUUUCGGAAGGUCCUUAGUAKUCCGCCCCUUCGGGGAGCGGGCUGCUGGCCUCCUAUGUUCCUAACGGUCCUCAUCCGCGAGGGUGGGGAAUCAACCGCUAGGAUCGUUUACUUUGAGGAAAUUAGAGUGUUCAAAGCAGGCGUAACUCGCCUCCGAAUACGUUAGCAUGGGAUAAUGGAAUACGACUUCGGUCUUGUUUCGUUGGUUUCGCUUGGCUGAAGUAAUGAUUGAUAGGGACAGUUGGGGGCAUUAGUAUUUAGUUGUCAGAGGUGAAAUUCUAGGAUUUACUAAAGACUGACCAAUGCGAAAGCAUUUGCCAAGGAUGUUUUCAUUAAUCAAGAACGAAAGUAGGGGGAUCGAAGACGAUCAGAUACCGUCGUAGUCUCUACCGUAAACUAUGCCGACCAGGGAUCCGGAGAGUUUGCAUGGAUGACUCCCCGGGCACCUUGUGAGAAAUCAUAAGUGUUUGGGUUUUGGGGGGAGUAUGGUCGCAAGGCUGAAACUUAAAGGAAUUGACGGAAGGGCACCACCAGGAGUGGAACCUGCGGCUUAAUUUGRMYCMAMMMSGGGGAAACUUACGAGGUCAGGACACUGUGAGGAUUGACAGAUUGAAAGCUCUUUCUUGAUUCAGUGGGUGGUGGUGCAUGGCCGUUCUUAKUUGGUGGAGUGAUUUGUCUGGUUAAUUCCGUUAACGAACGAGACCUUAACCUGCUAAAUAGUCACGCGAACCGGUCCGCAAGGGCUCAAAGUUCGCGGCUCGACUUCUUAGAGGGACUAUUCGCACCCGCCAGCGAAUGGAAGUUUGAGGCAAUAACAGGUCUGUGAUGCCCUUAGAUGUUCUCGGCCGCACGCGCGUUACACUGACGGAGUCAACGAGCGUUUUUCCUUGCCCGAUAGGGUUGGGUAACCUCCUGAAACUCCGUCGUGAUGGGGAUAGAUCAUUGCAAUUAUUGAUCUUGAACGAGGAAUUCCUAGUAGGCGCGAGUCAUCAACUCGCGCCGAUUACGUCCCUGCCCUUUGUACACACCGCCCGUCGCUCCUACCGAUUGAACGGUCCGGCGAGAACUCCGGAUGGUCGGCGCGCAGGGGUCAAACCCUGCGUCCGUGCCAGAAGCUGUUCGAACCUUACC
rnacentral:rRNA from 1 species